AUUGAACGCUGGCGGCAUGCUUUACACAUGCAAGUCGAACGGCAGCGCGGGCUUCGGCCUGGCGGCGAGUGGCGAACGGGUGAGUAAUGCAUCGGAACGUGCCCAGCAGUGGGGGAUAGCCCGGCGAAAGCCGGAUUAAUACCGCAUACGACCAGAGGGUGAAAGCGGGGGACCGAAAGGCCUCGCGCUAUUGGAGCGGCCGAUGUCGUAUUAGCUAGUUGGUGGGGUAAAGGCUUACCAAGGCGACGAUCCGUAGCUGGCCUGAGAGGACGACCAGCCACACUGGAACUGAGACACGGCCCAGACUCCUACGGGAGGCAGCAGUGGGGAAUUUUGGACAAAGGGGGCAACCCUGAUCCAGCCAUGCCGCGUGCGGGAAGAAGGCCUUCGGGUUGUAAACCGCUUUUGUUCGGGAAGAAAUCCUCUGGGCUAAUACCCCGGGGGGAUGACGGUACCGGAAGAAUAAGCACCGGCUAACUACGUG
rnacentral:rRNA from 1 species